rnacentral:rRNA from 1 species
UACAGAGGUCUCAAGCGUUGUUCGGAUUCAUUGGGCGUAAAGGGCGCGUAGGCUGCGGGGUAAGUCGGGUGUGAAAUCUCAGGGCUCAACCCUGAAACUGCACUCGAUACUGCUCUGCUUGAGGACUGGAGAGGAGACUGGAAUUCACGGUGGAGCGGUGAAAUGCGUAGAGAUUGGAAAGAACACCGAUGGCGAAGGCACUUUACUGGGCUAUUACUAACACUCAGAGACGAAAGCUAUGGUAGCAAAUGGG